GAUAACCUCGGGAAACUGGGUAUAAUACCCGAUAGGUCUCGAUUGCUGGAAUGCAUCGAGAUUUAAAGCUCCGGCGCCUAAGGAUGGGUCUGCGGCCUAUCAGGUAGUAGUGGGUGUAGCGUACCUACUAGCCUACGACGGGUACGGGUUGUGAGAGCAAGAGCCCGGAGAUGGAUUCUGAGACACGAAUCCAGGCCCUACGGGGUGCAGCAGGCGCGAAAACUUUACAAUGCUGGCAACAGCGAUAAGGGAACCUCGAGUGCCAGGUUACAAAUCUGGCUGUCGAGAUGCCUAAAAAGCAUUUCAUAGCAAGGGCCGGGCAAGACCGGUGCCAGCCGCCGCGGUAACACCGGCGGCUCGAGUGGUAACCGUUAUUAUUGGGUCUAAAGGGUCUGUAGCCGGCCGGAUAAGUCUCUUGAGAAAUCUGGCAGCUUAACUGUCAGGCUUUCAGGAGAUACUGUCUGGCUCGAGGCCGGGAGAGGUGAGAGGUACUUCAGGGGUAGGGGUGAAAUCUUGUAAUCCUUGAAGGACCACCAGUGGCGAAGGCGUCUCACCAGAACGGACCUGACGGCAAGGGACGAAAGCUAGGGGCACGAACCGGAUUAGAUACCCGGGUAGUCCUAGCCGUAAACGAUACUCGCUAGGUGUCGGCCACGGUGCGACCGUUGUCGGUGCCGUAGGGAAGCCGUGAAGCGAGCCACCUGGGAAGUACGGCCGCAAGGCUGAAACUUAAAGGAAUUGGCGGGGGAGCACCACAACGGGUGGAGCUUGCGGUUUAAUUGGAUUCAACGCCGGAAAUCUUACCGGGACCGACAGCAAUAUGAAGGCCAGGCUGAAGACUUUGCCGGAUUAGCUGAGAGGUGGUGCAU
rnacentral:rRNA from 1 species